UACGAAGGGGGCUAGCGUUGCUCGGAAUCACUGGGCGUAAAGGGCGCGUAGGCGGUGCGGUAAGUCUGCGGUGAAAUCUCCCGGCUCAACUGGGAGGCUGCCGUGGAAACUGCCGUGCUUGAGUGUGGGAGAGGUGAGUGGAAUUCCCGGUGUAGCGGUGAAAUGCGCAGAUAUCAGGAGGAACACCAAUUGCGAAGGCAGCUCGCUGGGACGUUACUGACGCUGAGACGCGAAAGCGUGGGGAGCAAACAGG
rnacentral:rRNA from 1 species